GGCGGACGGGUGAGGAAUACAUCGGAAUCUACUCUGUCGUGGGGGAGUAACGUAGGGAAACUUACGCUAAUACCGCAUACGACCUACGGGUGAAGCAGGGAUCUUCGGACCUUGCGCGAUUGAAUGAGCCGAUGUCGGAUUAGCUAGUUGGCGGGGUAAAGGCCCACCAAGGCGACGAUCCGUAGCUGGUCUGAGAGGAUGAUCAGCCACACUGGAACUGAGACACGGUCCAGACUCCUACGGGAGGCAGCAGC
rnacentral:rRNA from 1 species